GCUGACGAGCGGCGGACGGGUGAGUAAUGCUUGGGAACAUGCCUUGAGGUGGGGGACAACAGUUGGAAACGACUGCUAAUACCGCAUAAUGUCUACGGACCAAAGAGGGCUUCGGCUCUCGCCUUUAGAUUGGCCCAAGUGGGAUUAGCUAGUUGGUGAGGUAAUGGCUCACCAAGGCGACGAUCCCUAGCUGGUUUGAGAGGAUGAUCAGCCACACUGGGACUGAGACACGGCCCAGACUCCUACGGGAGGCAGCAGUGGGGAAUAUUACACAAUGGGCGCAAGCCUGAUGCAGCCAUGCCGCGUGUGUGAAGAAGGCCUUCGGGUUGUAAAGCACUUUCAGUCAGGAGGAAAGGUUAGUAGUUAAUACCUGCUAGCUGUGACGUUACUGACAGAAGAAGCACCGGCUAAAUCCGUGCCAGCAGCCGCGGUAAUACGGAUGGUGCGAGCGUUAAUCGGAAUUACUGGGCGUAAAGCGCGCGUAGGCGGCUAAGUCAGUCAGAAGUGAAAGCCCCGGGCUCAACCUGGGAAUUGCUUUUGAUACUGCUUAGCUAGAGUUUGGUAGAGGAUAGUGGAAUUCCAGGUGUAGCGGUGAAAUGCGUAGAUAUCUGGAGGAACAUCAGUGGCGAAGGCGACUGUCUGGACCAAAACUGACGCUGAGGUGCGAAAGCGUGGGUAGCAAACAGGAUUAGAUACCCUGGUAG
rnacentral:rRNA from 1 species